rnacentral:tRNA from 1 species
AAGGUUUUAAGUUAUUAAAACUGUAAGCCUUCAAAGCUUAAAAUAAAAAAGAAUUUUUAAACCUUGCC